rnacentral:rRNA from 1 species
GCCUGGCUGACUGGGAUACCUCCGGGAAACCGGGGCUAAUACCGGAUGCUUGUUUGAACCGCAUGGUUCAAACAUAAAAGGUGGCUUCGGCUACCACUUACAGAUGGACCCGCGGCGCAUUAGCUAGUUGGUGAGGUAAUGGCUCACCAAGGCAACGAUGCGUAGCCGACCUGAGAGGGUGAUCGGCCACACUGGGACUGAGACACGGCCCAGACUCCUACGGGAGGCAGCAGUAGGGAAUCUUCCGCAAUGGACGAAAGUCUGACGGAGCAACGCCGCGUGAGUGAUGAAGGUUUUCGGAUCGUAAAGCUCUGUUGUUAGGGAAGAACAAGUGCCGUUCAAAUAGGGCGGCACCUUGACGGUACCUAACCAGAAAGCCACGGCUAACUACGUGCCAGCAGCCGCGGUAAUACGUAGGUGGCAAGCGUUGUCCGGAAUUAUUGGGCGUAAAGGGCUCGCAGGCGGUUUCUUAAGUCUGAUGUGAAAGCCCCCGGCUCAACCGGGGAGGGUCAUUGGAAACUGGGGAACUUGAGUGCAGAAGAGGAGAGUGGAAUUCCACGUGUAGCGGUGAAAUGCGUAGAGAUGUGGAGGAACACCAGUGGCGAAGGCGACUCUCUGGUCUGUAACUGACGCUGAGGAGCGAAAGCGUGGGGAGCGAACAGGAUUAGAUACCCUGGUAGUCCACGCCGUAAACGAUGAGUGCUAAGUGUUAGGGGGUUUCCGCCCCUUAGUGCUGCAGCUAACGCAUUAAGCACUCCGCCUGGGGAGUACGGUCGCAAGACUGAAACUCAAAGGAAUUGACGGGGGCCCGCACAAGCGGUGGAGCAUGUGGUUUAAUUCGAAGCAACGCGAAGAACCUUACCAGGUCUUGACAUCCUCUGACCCCCUAGAGAUAGGGCUUCCCCUUCGGGGGCAGAGUGACGGGGU